rnacentral:rRNA from 1 species
AGGGUGAUCACCCAACACUGGAACUGAGAAACGGUCCAGAAUCCUACGGGAGGCAGCAGUGGGGNAUUUUGGACAAUGGGCGAAAGCCUGAUCCAGCCAUUCCGCGUGAGUGAAGAAGGCCUUCGGGUUGUAAAGCUCUUUCGGCAGGGAAGAAACGGUCACGGAUAAUACCUGUGACUAAUGACGGUACCUGAAGAAGAAGCACCGGCUAANUACGUGCCAGCAGCCGCGGUAAUACGUAGGGUGCGAGCGUUAAUCGGAAUUACUGGGCGUAAAGCGUGCGCAGGCGGUUUUGUAAGUCAGAUGUGAAAUCCCCGGGCUUAACCUGGGAACUGCGUUUGAAACUACAAGGCUAGAGUUUGGCAGAGGGGGGUAGAAUUUCCACGUGUAGCAGUGAAAUGCGUAGAUAUGUGGAGGAAU